AACUUGGCACACGAGGUAAGCAAUUGAUGAGUAAAUAGUGUUGGUUAAAGUGUUACGGACCAUUAUUCCGAUUAUGAAGCUACGCAGAAAUGUGAGAAAAACACGAGAAAGCAAUAUGUAUGACUAUUGAGGGCAGAUAGUGAACACAAUUUUGAGGACGAAAUUAUUUUAAGGGGGAAAGAAUUGUAACACCCCUAUUUGU
rnacentral:misc_RNA from 1 species